rnacentral:rRNA from 1 species
AGAACGAACGCUGGCGGCAUGCCUAACACAUGCAAGUCGAACGAGACCUUCGGGUCUAGUGGCGCACGGGUGCGUAACGCGUGGGAAUCUGCCCUUGGGUUCGGGAUAACAGUUGGAAACGACUGCUAAUACCGGAUGAUGACUUCGGUCCAAAGAUUUAUCGCCCAGGGAUGAGCCCGCGUAGGAUUAGCUUGUUGGUGAGGUAAAAGCUCACCAAGGCGACGAUCCUUAGCUGGUCUGAGAGGAUGAUCAGCCACACUGGGACUGAGACACGGCCCAGACUCCUACGGAGGCAGCAGUGGGAAUAUUGGACAAGUGGGCGAAAGCCUGGAUCCAGCAAAUGCCGCGUGAGUGAUGAAGGCCUUAGGUUGUAAAGCUUACGUUUUACCGGGAUGAUAAGUGACAGUACCGGAGAAGUAACGCCCCGGAUAACGUCCGUAGCCAGCAGCCGC